GCCUGGGUGGCUCAGGCCGUUAAGUGUCUGACUUUGGCUCAGGUCAUGAUCUCACAGUUCGUGGGUUCAAGCCCCGCACCAGGCU
rnacentral:tRNA from 1 species